GAUGAAGAACGUAGCGAAAUGCGAUAAGUAGUGUGAAUUGCAGAAUUCAGUGAAUCAUCGAAUCUUUGAACGGACAUUGCGCCCCUUGGUAUUCCAUGGGGCAUGCCUGUUCGAGCGUCAUUUGUACCUUCAAGCUUUGCUUGGUGUUGGGUGUUUGUCCUGAGGGACUCGCCUUAAAGUAAUUGGCAGCCAGUGUUUGGUUUUGAAGCGCAGCACAAGUCGCGAUUCAAAGCUAUACGCCCGCUUCCACAAGCCUUUUUCACUUUUGACCUCGGAUCAGGUAGGGAUACCCGCUGAACUUAAGCAUAUCAAUAAGCGGAGGA
rnacentral:misc_RNA from 1 species